rnacentral:rRNA from 1 species
CCCGAAGUAUCCUGAAUCUUUCGCAUUGUCAAUCAUACAAGUGCAUAUAAUAAACACAAAAAUCGAUGAUAAUCAUGCCAUUAUAUAAUUCCGAGAAAUUAGCGCACUGUAGUCAUAUAAAUCUAUCAAUACUUUAUCAAAUUUGCAGCAUUUAUUUUAUGUUAAAAUGCGAGCACUUUAAUUUGAAUAAACAAUAUCCACAAUUUUUUGAUAAAUUUUCUAAUACUAAUAGAUUACAAUGUCCUUAUAUGGAAAAAAUGCACACUAUUAUUAUAAUAUUUAUUAAAUAUUACAACUCUAAUGAUGAAUUUUCCAUAACGGAUAUUCAGGUUCAUCGGGC